CUUAAUAGCGUGUGGGAGUGAUAACUAGUUCCCUGACAUGUGGAAACAAUCAGGAGAUUUCAACGGCCCUCCAUCUAGGUCAAGGUCCUCUGAGUUCAAAGAGUUACCACUGCUAAUGCCAAUGGAACACCCAACUUUUCCUGAUUAUUAAGGUCAAUUACUCCUUCUGGGAUGGAGACUCGCUUCCUUGCCUGCUGUCGGUGGUGUGCUGGUUGAGAAGGAACGCACAUAAUUGACUCCGGCCGCCAGGAUGAGCCUGCUAGUCUGCUGGCAUGAGAAAUCCAGAGUGACAGAGCAGCAGCCAUACUGCAACGUUAAACGGGAAUAUUGCUGCGCCCCAUUGUAGAUGCAUUUCCUUUCUGAGAACCUUGAUCUCUGGACCCACAGAAUUUAAUCUGCAAGGACAAGUUUCCCAAGAAUGGAUCACUGACACCACGUGGGAGACAGCGGGAACUGAGUGCUAUGUUUGGGACCGUUCUCCAGCCUCCCAGAAAUGUAAAGUUGGAUUUUCUAAUAACUUCUAAUCAUGGAAAUCACAUACCCACUAUGUGCUAGACACUAUUGUAGGUACUGGAGAAUGAGAAUAAGCAGCCCUGCCCUCAAGGAGCCUUUUUUCUGGUGUAGAAAGUGAGUGAGUGACAUGCAAACCCUGGUCUUUGGCUGCUAGAGUGUAUGAGCCGUCCAUUAUCAUGCUGACCUGCCUCGCAGAGCAAUAGUGACUUCAGUAUUGGGAACUGAUGGUGAUGAAGGUAAUAAUAGAGGUACUAAGGAUACAUCAGAGAAAAAAGCAAAGAUUCCGGAACCAGUGGAGCUUCCACUUUCUACUCAGGCCAUAACGAGUCAGAGUCUGGGUGCGGCAUAACUGGGUCUUCUGCUCAGGGUCUCACGGGCUGUCAUCAGUGUCAGCCAGGCUGCAUGCCCUUCUGGAGACCCAACUGGGGAGAUUCCUCUUCCAAGCUCCUUCAGAUUGCUGGCCAUGUGAAGACACAGAGAGGAGAAUGCCAUGUGAUGACAGAGACAGAGGUGGGAGUGAGAC
rnacentral:lncRNA from 1 species